AGGACGAACACUGGCGGCGUGCCUAAAACAUGCAAGUCGAACGGGGUAGCAAUACCCAGUGGCGAACGGCGGAGUAAUACAUAAACAACGUGCCCCGAAGACUGGGAUAUACGGCUGAAAAGCUGGGCAAUACCGGAUGUGGCAGCGUCUCGGCAUCGAGAUGCUAUCAAAUGGUUUUUCGCUUUGGGAGCGGUUUAUGGCCUAUCAGGUAGUUGGUGGGGUAAUGGCCUACCAAGCCGACGACGGGUAGCGGGUCUGAGAGGAUGAUCCGCUCGAGUGGGACUGAGACACGGCCCACACACCUACGGGUGGCAGCAGUUGGGAAUCUUGCACAAUGGGGGAAACCCUGAUGCAGCGACGCCGCGUGGAGGAUGACGGAUCUAGGUCUGUAAACUCCUUUUUCAUGGAAAGACUUAGGACGGUACCAUGAGAAUAAGGACCGGCUAACUACGUGCCAGCAGCCGC
rnacentral:rRNA from 1 species